GAGAUUACCUCUCAGGGGAGAUGCCAUCAUUACAAAGGUGGUUUUCACAGGGCAAGGCAUACCCAUUGCACUCCAGAUGUGCUGAGCCCUGAGAUUUCUCCAAAUGUGGGGAACUCAACUGCCUAUGGGAGACUGUUUUUACUCUUCCCUG
ensembl:snRNA U1 U1 spliceosomal RNA